rnacentral:rRNA from 1 species
UGCGUAGGUGGUUUCUUAAGUCAGAGGUGAAAGGCUACGGCUCAACCGUAGUAAGCCUUUGAAACUGGGAAACUUGAGUGCAGGAGAGGAGAGUGGAAUUCCCGGUGUAACGGUGGAAUGUGUAGAUAUCGGGAAGAACACCAAUGGCGAAGGCAGGUCUCUGGGCCGUUACUGACGCUGAGGAGCGAAAGCGUGGGGAGCGAACA